rnacentral:rRNA from 1 species
CCCUUAGAUGUCCUGGGCCGCACGCGCGCUACACUGAGUGUCUGAGAUACGAGUCUGCCUGGUCCGGCAAGGUCUAGGUAAUCGCUAAAAGACACAUCAUGCUUGGGAUAGAUUAUUGCAAAUAUUAAUCUUGAACGAGGAAUUCCUAGUAAGCGCAAGUCAACAGCUUGCGUUGAUUAUGUCCCUGCCCUUUGUACACACCGCCCGUCGCUCCUACUGAUUGGGUGAUCCGGUGAGCUGUUCGGCCAUAGCAAUGUUUCUUGAGCAGGGCAAUGAAUGUUUCGCAAACCUUGCCACUUAGAGGAAGGAGAAGUCGUAACA